rnacentral:rRNA from 1 species
AACGAACGCUGGCGGCAUGCCUAACACAUGCAAGUCGAACGAGACCUUCGGGUCUAGUGGCGCACGGGUUCGUAACGCGGGGGAACCUGCCCUUAAGUUCGGCCUAACUCCCCGAAAGGGGUGCUAAUACCGGAUAAUGUCUUCCGACCAAAGGUUUAUCGCCAUUGGGUGGGCGCGCGUUGGAUUAGCUAGUUGGUAGGGUAAAAGCCUACCAAGGCGACGAUCCAUAGCUGGUCAGAGAGGAUGAGCAGCCACACUGGGAGUGAGACACGGCCCAGACUCUUACGGGAGGCAGCAGUGGGGAAUAUUGGACAACGGGCGAAGGCAUGAUCCAGCAAGGCUGGGUGAGUGAUGAAGGCCGUAGGGAUGUAAAGCUCUCUUAUCCGGGAGGAUAAUGACGGUACCGGGAGAAUAAGCGCCGGCUAACUCCGUG